AGUUUUUUUUAAUUAAUAAAAGAUAUAAUCUGCCCAUUGAAAUAUAUUUUUAAAAGGCCGCAGUAUUUUGACUGUGCAAAGGUAGCAUAAUCAUUAGAUUUUUAAUUGAAAUCUGGAAUGAAUGGUUAAAUGAAAUAAAAUCUUUUUUAAUUUUAAUAUUUGAAUUUUAUUUAUAAGUAAAAAAUCUUAUUUUAAAAAAUGGGACGAGAAGACCCUAUAGAAUUUUAUAAAUAUUGAAUUAAUUAAUUAUUUUUAUUUAUUUAAUUCUUUAAUAAUUUAUUUUAUUGGGGAGAUAUUUAAAUUUAUUAAACUUUAAAUUAUAAAAAUCAUAAGUUAAUGUUAUUUUUGAUCUUUUUUUAACGAUUAAAAAAAUAAAUUACCUUAGGGAUAACAGCAUAAUAAUUUUAUUAAGUUCUUAUUAAUGACAGAGAUUAUGACCUCGAUGUUGAAUUAAAAUAAUUAUUAUAUGUAGGAGUAUAAUAAAUAAGUCUGUUCGACUUUUAAAUUUUUACAUGAUUUGAGUUCAAAUCGGUGUAAG
rnacentral:rRNA from 1 species